rnacentral:rRNA from 1 species
CUACGGGACGCUGCAGCUGAGGAUCUUCUGCAAUGUACGAAAGUAUGACAGAGCGAGCCAGAGUGCUUUACCGUAUUGGUGAAGCUUUUAUGAUAUGUAAAAAGUAUCAUGAAUAAGGACCGGGCAAGACUGGUGCCAGCCGCCGCGGUAAUACCAGCGGUCCAAGUCGCAAUCACAUUUAUUGGGUCUAAAACAUCCGUAGCUUGUUAUGUAAGUCUCUUGUGAAAUCCGGCCUCUUAAGGGUCGAAGUGCAAGAGAUACUGCAUGGCUAGAGACCGGUAGGGGUAAGCAGUACGAUCAGGGUAGCGGUUAAAUGUGUUGAUCCUGUUCGGACUAACAAUAGCGAAGGCAGCUUACUAGGACGGGUCUGACAGUGAGGGAUGAAGGCUAGGGGCGCAAAACGGAUUAGAUACCCUAGUAGUC